CGAGGGGGACUCGCGCGCUGCGGCGCCCCCUGGCGACAGGAGGGGCUCGGUGCAGGCUAAUCCACGCGCGGAGUCCAGGGUCCCUCUACAGCGGUUUCCCUGGGAACCACUCUGGCUGGAAAUCCUGUGGCUGCCUUUGGAGGAUGUGAACUCUCCUGGGAUGGACCAGAAGUGCUCUGCGCUCUGCUAUUAACCCCAUGAAAAGAGUUCUUUCCAGAUAAGCGGAUACUUGCGGCUGCGUGGAGUGGAUCCCAGUCCCAGUUUGCUACCAGCAAUCCCAACCCAAGACACAGUCGCUGUCUCCAGGUGUGCUCUAGCUUCUGUUCCCACCCACCUCUGUGUGAGAUGAGCAUUGUCUGGGAAAGCACACUGUCGUCACCUGCCUCCCCCAUCCCGGUCCCCACCACUCUCUGACUGAUGCCAUCGCCUAGAUGAUAAAGCGCCCGUCACUCAAGCACAGAAGUCGAAAUUCAUAGUUCAUUUCUUUACUUAUGUAAGAUCAUUCACUGACAAAAGAACUCAAAUGGAAAGGCUUUGGGCAUAUGCAGAAACGGGGAGAAAAAAAUAAUCUCUCCGAGUCAGAAGCCUCGGGGGAGCAUAGCAAGACUUAUCAAAGUUACAGUGCUCCAUUUGGAAAGCGCCAACCGCCAGCCCUCGGGCGAGGUGCAGUGGUGCAUAAUUAAUGUAGUCCCAGACACAGGUCACUGAAGUGCCCCACAGGUGUGUGCCUGGUUUUCAAUAAGGCCUUUCCCUCGGAACUCCUCUUCCGACUUUGAGUUUGUGCUCCCGGAAGCCUUGCACGAUCGGGAGAAUUCAGAAGAACGAUCUGAAUGCCCAUCAAUAGAAAAUGGCAAGAAAUUACGGCAGAUCUAGUCUCUGGAAUCCUAGGUAUUUGGGGAAAAGAAGCAAGCUGGGUCCCAAAACACUGAUAUAGAAAAGUGGCUGUAGUUUUUGUUGUUGGUGUUGUUUUGUUUUUGCUUUUCAUCAGGAAGGCAAAUAGAAAAAGGUUCACAAUAUUCCAUUUUUUGCAAGACUUCCAUUUUUCAAGUAAGUCUUUGUCCUGAAGGUCACACCAAUGCCCUCAUUAUAUAUGCCCUUCCUGCAAUAUGUGGCUUUUCUGGGUUUCCUGAGCAGGCUGCAGUUUGAGUUUGAACCCUGGGCCUACAGGUGCACAGAUGCUAUCAGCAUUGAUUUGUCCCUCUCGAGACUUUCCAGAUUUGGAGACGUGCCACGCAGUGGAGCGUGAUGACUGUCCAAGAGCUGUUAAGGAGCUACCUCGUGCCCCCGACCACAACCCCCUGCGCGCGCCCCCUGGCGGGGAAGAGGCUUGGCCCCCAUGGGAUAUCAGAAGCAGGAGAACCCUAAGAAAGCGCCCCUCCCUCUGUGCUUGAGGAGACUACUCCGAAGUGGGAUUUCUUCCCGCAAACUUUUCCAGAAGAAUCCGGCGUGAGAAGUAGACACACCUGCUGAAACCGGCCAGCACAGCUACGCAUCCCAUCACUUCAUUGUUUCUGGAUUAACUUCCGGUUGUUUUGUUUUAUUUAACUUUCUCCUUCACCAGCCUUGCUUGCUUUUCCCAAAUAAAGUGGACCCCGA
rnacentral:lncRNA from 1 species